rnacentral:rRNA from 1 species
AGUGAACGCUGGCGGUAGGCCUAACACAUGCAAGUCGAACGGCAGCACAGAGGAGCUUGCUCCUUGGGUGGCGAGUGGCGGACGGGUGAGGAAUACAUCGGAAUCUACUCCGUCGUGGGGGAUAACGUAGGGAAACUUACGCUAAUACCGCAUACGACCUACGGGUGAAAGCAGGGGAUCUUCGGACCUUGCGCGAUUGAAUGAGCCGAUGUCGGAUUAGCUAGUUGGCGGGGUAAAGGCCCACCAAGGCGACGAUCCGUAGCUAGUCUGGGAGGAUGAUCAGCCACACUGGAACUGAGACACGGUCCAGACUCCUACGGGAGGCAGCAGUGGGGAAUAUUGGACAAUGGGCGCAAGCCUGAUCCAGCCAUACCGCGUGGGUGAAGAAGGCCUUCGGGUUGUAAAGCCCUUUUGUUGGGAAAGAAAUCCAUCUGGUUAAUACCCGGGUGGGAUGACGGUACCCAAAGAAUAAGCACCGGCUAACUUCGUGCCAGCCGCCGCCGUAA